AACGAACGCUGGCGGCAUGCCUAACACAUGCAAGUCGAACGAGAUCUUCGGGUCUAGUGGCGCACGGGUGCGUCACGCGUGGGAAUCUGCCCUUUGGUUCGGAAUAACAGUUGGACACGACUGCUAAUACCGGAUGAUGACGAAAGUCCAAAGAUUUAUCGCCAGAGGAUGAGCCCGCGUAGGAUUAGCUAGUUGGUGGGGUAAAGGCGCACCAAGGCGACGAUCCUUAGCUGGGCUGAGAGGAUGAUCAGCCACACUGGGACUGAGACACGGCACAGACUCCGAGGGGAGGCAGCAGUGGGGAAUAUUGGACGAUGGGCGAAAGCCUGGUCCAGCAAUGCCGGGUGAGUGAUGAAGGCCUUAGGGUUGUAAAGCUCUUUUACCCGGGAUGAUAAUGACAGUACCGGGAGAAUAAGCGCCGGCUAACUCCGUGCCAGCCGCCGCCGUAA
rnacentral:rRNA from 1 species